GGUGUGGUGGCCAAGUGGUAAGGUGGUGGUCUUGUAAACUAAAGAUCAUGGGUCCCAUCCCCAUCCAUGCUU